rnacentral:snRNA from 1 species
AGCUUUGCACAGUGGCAGUAUUGUAGCCAAUGAGGUUUAUCUGAGGCACGAUUAUUGCUAAUUGAUUCCUUUAGUUUUUAAGACUGUUCAGUACACUGCUUCCUCCCCUACUGCAAACAGUUUGAAAGAAAGUGAAUUA